rnacentral:lncRNA from 1 species
GAGCCAGGAUGUUCUGGGUCAGUUGUCCUGGGGCUCAGAGAAAGACUCCCUUUCUUUCUGCCUUUAAGAGCAGUAAUAAGAACAGGGCCCCUGCUCCCGUGAAUUCUGUCGGUCCUCACUCCGUGGGUUGGGACCUCUUGCCCAACCAGACAUGGCCGCCUCCCCUGGAGUCCACUAGUGGGGGCAGCAAAUGGGAGCAGCAGAGGACAUUCCAGUGGGGGUGAGUGUCCAGGCAGCUGCUGCCGAGCAGAUCUGGAGUCAAACCCUGCUUCUGGGCCAUGGUAACCAGGAGACCUUGCGCAGGCCAGUCCCCUCUCUGUGCCUAGGUUUCCUCAUCUGUAAAAUGGGGUGAAAGCCACACCCUCCUCUCAGUGUCGGAGGAAUGAAUAGUCCCAGUGGAUACAAGCCCCUGUUGGCCACAGAGUGGAUGUUUUUUCCCAUGAUGGUCAAACUCUCCCCUUUGGUUUAACUUUGCAGAUGGGGAAGAGGGUGAGCUAGUUGUGCUGCAUCCCUUAGUAACAGAAUUGCUGACACAGCGAGAGGACAAGAUGUGGCCAAAGGAACACCUUGGAUUGGAGUCAGAAAGACCUGCCUUGCGUCACCUGUGGGACUGAGGCUCUGAGCCUUGGGGCUCUUCUGCUGCCGGGGGUGACAGUCUUCACAGCAGACAUUCUCUCUGCUCAAAGGGUGACUGACUGACUGACGUCAUCAGAGGAGGUUGCUUGUGUACCCCCCUCACCUGGCCCUGGUGCCGUUCUCUGUCCCCCUCACCCUGCCUGUUGUGCCAUGUGACAAACAGACUUCCCUGUCUGUUUACUGUCUGUCUCCUCCAGUUACAAUGCCAGCUCUUGGGAGCAGAGGAUCUCUGCCUUGCUCACUGCUGCACCUCCAUAUCCUAGAAGGGCCCUGGCACAGAUGGGGUAUAUAAUACGUAUUUGUUGAAUAGCUGCGGAAUGAAACUGUCUUAAAUUCUCGGAUUAUUCGUGAGACUAGAAAUAGCCACCUCUGGGGUUAUUGAGGGGCUAGUUUACGUCAAAUGCAGGAGGAUGUCAGUAAAUGGCCAUGAUGAUAAUGACGGUGAUCAGACUGUGUCUGCAUACCUUCCCGCCUGGCCCUGCUUCUGAGAGCCGGGGUCAAAGGAAGAGGAUUUGGAUCAUCAUUCCUCAGAUCUGGCAGCAGAUCAGUGUCUCCUGAGGAGCUUAGGAAAAAACAUCUGUCCAGGCCUUGCUGUGGUCAUUCCGACCCAGAUCUCUGGAUGGAGCUCAGGAAUCUGUGUAUUUUAAGUCUGGAGUGGCCAGGGCAUUUCCCUUGCUGGAGUUAGAAAGGACACAAGGCCAGAGGGAGUUGUCAGGAUGGUUGUGUUCCAAGGAGGAUCCUGAGAAGGAAUUCCUACCUGCUGAAGGUGACACAGGACAUGGAAAACUCACUGUCACCAGGGAGAAAAAGAAAGCAAGAACUACUGACCAGUGAGAGCUUACUGGCUAGGAGGGCCACCUCCGUCAGACAGAAUACGUAACCCAGCCACACACAGAGCCGGUCAGGCGUGUUUCUGGGAGUGAAGAUGAGGAACACAAUGUGCUAUUUACGUUUCUGCUUUUAAACCUGACACCCUGGUAGCAGGUAGGAAGUGAGUGUUUGCAAACCCUUUGCAUUGCUGAGUGUUUAAUCUUUUAAUUAUUACUCUCGGUGUUUUUACAGUGUCAUGGUAAUAGGCAAACUCAUGGCCUCUUUCUAAAACUUUAUUUCAUGCAUAGAGUGUUUACACAACUGUGAAUCCCCCACAGGGCAAAAUACUGGGGCCAAAAGUUAAACCCAGAGGGUAAACAAACUGAAAUCAUUCUGUGUUUACAGUACAGUAAGUGUAUACGAAAGCAAGUGAGCUGAUAUUUUCUUAGUAAUUAUCCAGAUCUGUGCUGCCCAAUAUCAUUGCCAUUAGUCACGUGUGGCUAUUUAAAUUUAAUUAAAAUUGAAUUAAAAAUUUAGUUCCUCAGUC